rnacentral:rRNA from 2 species
GGGUUGUGAGGUUAAGCGACUAAGCGUACACGGUGGAUGCCCUGGCAGUCAGAGGCGAUGAAGGGCGUGCUAAUCUGCGAUAAGCGCCGGUAAGGUGAUAUGAACCGUUAUAACCGGCGAUACCCGAAUGGGGAAACCCAGUGUGAUUCGUCACACUAUCAUUAACUGAAUCCAUAGGUUAAUGAGGCGAACCGGGGGAACUGAAACAUCUAAGUACCCCGAGGAAAAGAAAUCAACCGAGAUUCCCCCAGUAGCGGCGAGCGAACGGGGAGGAGCCCAGAGCCUGAAUCAGCAUGUGUGUUAGUGGAAGCGUCUGGAAAGGCGCGCGAUACAGGGUGACAGCCCCGUACACAAAAGCGCAUGUGCUGUGAGCUCGAUGAGUAGGGCGGGACACGUGGUAUCCUGUCUGAAUAUGGGGGGACCAUCCUCCAAGGCUAAAUACUCCUGACUGACCGAUAGUGAACCAGUACCGUGAGGGAAAGGCGAAAAGAACCCCGGCGAGGGGAGUGAAAAAGAACCUGAAACCGUGUACGUACAAGCAGUGGGAGCACAGGUUUACCUGUGUGACUGCGUACCUUUUGUAUAAUGGGUCAGCGACUUAUAUUCUGUAGCAAGGUUAACCGUAUAGGGGAGCCGGAGGGAAACCGAGUCUUAAUUGGGCGUUAAGUUGCAGGGUAUAGACCCGAAACCCGGUGAUCUAGCCAUGGGCAGGUUGAAGGUUGGGUAACACUAACUGGAGGACCGAACCGACUAAUGUUGAAAAAUUAGCGGAUGACCUGUGGCUGGGGGUGAAAGGCCAAUCAAACCGGGAGAUAGCUGGUUCUCCCCGAAAGCUAUUUAGGUAGCGCCUCGUGAAUUCAUCUCCGGGGGUAGAGCACUGUUUCGGCUAGGGGGCCAUCCCGGCUUACCAACCCGAUGCAAACUGCGAAUACCGGAGAAUGUUAUCACGGGAGACACACGGCGGGUGCUAACGUCCGUCGUGAAGAGGGAAACAACCCAGACCGCCAGCUAAGGUCCCAAAGUCAUGGUUAAGUGGGAAACGAUGUGGGAAGGCCCAGACAGCCAGGAUGUUGGCUUAGAAGCAGCCAUCAUUUAAAGAAAGCGUAAUAGCUCACUGGUCGAGUCGGCCUGCGCGGAAGAUGUAACGGGGCUAAACCAUGCACCGAAGCUGCGGCAGCGAACGUAUCACCCAAGACAACUUUACGGAGUUGACGAUUGACGGAGCGAAGCGACGUCAAAGCGUUCAUUAAAGUCGAGUUGGCUUAGGGAUACGUUCGUUGGGUAGGGGAGCGUUCUGUAAGCCUGUGAAGGUGUGUCGUGAGGCAUGCUGGAGGUAUCAGAAGUGCGAAUGCUGACAUAAGUAACGAUAAAGCGGGUGAAAAGCCCGCUCGCCGGAAGACCAAGGGUUCCUGUCCAACGUUAAUCGGGGCAGGGUGAGUCGACCCCUAAGGCGAGGCCGAAAGGCGUAGUCGAUGGGAAACGGGUUAAUAUUCCCGUACUUGGUGUUACUGCGAAGGGGGGACGGAGAAGGCUAUGUUGGCCGGGCGACGGUUGUCCCGGUUUAAGCGUGUAGGUGUGUGUUCCAGGUAAAUCCGGUUCACUUUAACACUGAGGCGUGACGACGAGGCACUACGGUGCUGAAGCAACAAAUGCCCUGCUUCCAGGAAAAGCCUCUAAGCAUCAGGUAACACGAAAUCGUACCCCAAACCGACACAGGUGGUCAGGUAGAGAAUACCAAGGCGCUUGAGAGAACUCGGGUGAAGGAACUAGGCAAAAUGGUGCCGUAACUUCGGGAGAAGGCACGCUGACACGUAGGUGAAGUGAUUUACUCAUGGAGCUGAAGUCAGUCGAAGAUACCAGCUGGCUGCAACUGUUUAUUAAAAACACAGCACUGUGCAAACACGAAAGUGGACGUAUACGGUGUGACGCCUGCCCGGUGCCGGAAGGUUAAUUGAUGGGGUCAGCGUAAGCGAAGCUCCUGAUCGAAGCCCCGGUAAACGGCGGCCGUAACUAUAACGGUCCUAAGGUAGCGAAAUUCCUUGUCGGGUAAGUUCCGACCUGCACGAAUGGCGUAAUGAUGGCCAGGCUGUCUCCACCCGAGACUCAGUGAAAUUGAACUCGCUGUGAAGAUGCAGUGUACCCGCGGCAAGACGGAAAGACCCCGUGAACCUUUACUAUAGCUUGACACUGAACAUUGAGCCUUGAUGUGUAGGAUAGGUGGGAGGCUUUGAAGUGUGGACGCCAGUCUGCAUGGAGCCGACCUUGAAAUACCACCCUUUAAUGUUUGAUGUUCUAACGUGGACCCGUAAUCCGGGUUGCGGACAGUGUCUGGUGGGUAGUUUGACUGGGGCGGUCUCCUCCUAAAGAGUAACGGAGGAGCACGAAGGUUGGCUAAUCCUGGUCGGACAUCAGGAGGUUAGUGCAAUGGCAUAAGCCAGCUUGACUGCGAGCGUGACGGCGCGAGCAGGUGCGAAAGCAGGUCAUAGUGAUCCGGUGGUUCUGAAUGGAAGGGCCAUCGCUCAACGGAUAAAAGGUACUCCGGGGAUAACAGGCUGAUACCGCCCAAGAGUUCAUAUCGACGGCGGUGUUUGGCACCUCGAUGUCGGCUCAUCACAUCCUGGGGCUGAAGUAGGUCCCAAGGGUAUGGCUGUUCGCCAUUUAAAGUGGUACGCGAGCUGGGUUUAGAACGUCGUGAGACAGUUCGGUCCCUAUCUGCCGUGGGCGCUGGAGAACUGAGGGGGGCUGCUCCUAGUACGAGAGGACCGGAGUGGACGCAUCACUGGUGUUCGGGUUGUCAUGCCAAUGGCACUGCCCGGUAGCUAAAUGCGGAAGAGAUAAGUGCUGAAAGCAUCUAAGCACGAAACUUGCCCCGAGAUGAGUUCUCCCUGAGACUUAGAGUCUCCUGAAGGAACGUUGAAGACGACGACGUUGAUAGGCCGGGUGUGUAAGCGCAGCGAUGCGUUGAGCUAACCGGUACUAAUGAACCGUGAGGCUUAACCUUACAACGCCGAAG